UCUCAAAACAGACAAAAACUGUCCAGCAGGCCCGCAAGACACCUAACUGUUCACAGAUGGCCCUGGAGGUUGCUCUCAGGAAGACAGUAACUAGACACGGGGUUUACAAAAAUUCCUAGGCGUAAAUGUACAGAAAACGAGACAUCAGUGAAAGAGUUAAAGAAAACAAGACUAAGACAACACAGGACUCAGAAAUGUGGCUGACCACCUGACCAGAGCGGGAAGACCAGGCUCUGGAAUGACUGACUACCUCUCUCUCCUUCCCACCCUCUCCAAACCUGCUGCUGUAGAACAAAGACAGAUCUUUGUAACAUUUCGGGUCCUGAUCUCCCCCACACCCUGUGAGCAACUGUCAAACUCUGUUAGAGGCCAUGCUGAAGACCAACUGACCAGGGACAGUUGCAGUCUGAGAUCCUGGAGGUUAAUUCCUCAACAUUAUAGAGGGAUAUAGUCUUUAAUGAUCACAUUGCUAAUUUUAGUAUUUAAGGCUUACUUGGAAAUAGUCAUAUCCCUUCACAUAUUCAUCUGCUAAUCAUCUAUGUAGAUAAAAAGCUAAGAGAAAAAUACACAAUUUCCUAAUGG
rnacentral:lncRNA from 1 species